rnacentral:rRNA from 1 species
GUGGGGAAUCUUGCGCAAUGGGCGAAAGCCUGACGCAGCAACGCCGCGUGUGUGAUGAAGGUCUUCGGAUCGUAAAGCACUGUCGGGAGGGACGAAUAAGGGCCAGGUGAACAAUCUGGUCCGAUGACGGUACCUCCAAAGGAAGCACCGGCUAACUCUGUGCCAGCAGCCGCGGUAAUACAGAGGGUGCAAGCGUUGUUCGGAAUUAUUGGGCGUAAAGCGCGUGUAGGCGGUCUCACAAGUCGGAUGUGAAAGCCCUCGGCUUAACCGAGGAAGUGCGUUCGAAACUACGAGACUUGAGUGCCGGAGAGGGUGGCGGAAUUCCCGGUGUAGAGGUGAAAUUCGUAGAUAUCGGGAGGAACACCAGUGGCGAAGGCGGCCACCUGGACGGCAACUGACGCUGAGACGCGAAAGCGUGGGGAGCAAACAGGAUUAGAAACCCCAGUAGUCC